rnacentral:rRNA from 1 species
CACGUAGGGCGCAAGCGUUGUCCGGAAUUAUUGGGCGUAAAGAGCUCGUAGGCGGUCUGUUGCGUCCGCUGUGAAAACUCGGGGCUUAACCCCGAGCCUGCAGUGGAUACGGGCAGACUAGAGGUAGGUAGGGGAGAAUGGAAUUCCCGGUGUAGCGGUGAAAUGCGCAGAUAUCGGGAGGAACACCGAUGGCGAAGGCGGUUCUCUGGGCCUUACCUGACGCUGAGGAGCGAAAGCGUGGGGAGCGAACAGG